UGAAGUUUACAGGGGGAAAGCAACCACUUAGAAAUCAGGGAGAGAGACCUCUGAAGAAACCAACCUUCCUGACACCUCCAGAAUUCCAUAAUCAACAAAUCUGUUCCUCCUCCAUUUUCUGAAGACAAAAGGGUUCCAGAGGAAAAGUCCUAAGUAUGUGCUUUUGAAGAAGAGGAUGAUAAAUUGUGACUACCUAUGUUGCCAUAAG
rnacentral:lncRNA from 1 species